rnacentral:tRNA from 1 species
GCGGGAGUAGCUCAGUUGGUUAGAGCACUGGCCUGUCACGCCAGUGGUCGCGGGUUCGAGUCCCGUCUCUCGCGCCA